UAUGUGAUCGUCUCUCGCAUAUCAAUAAGCGGAGGAAAAGAAACUAACAAGGAUUCCCCUAGUAACGGCGAGUGAAGCGGGAAGAGCUCAAAUUUGAAAUCUUAAAGGGUUUCCCUUUACGAAUUGUAGUUUAAAGAAGUGUUUUCUGUUGAGGUUUUGGUAAAAGUUCUUUGGAAUAGGACAUCAUAGAGGGUGAGAAUCCCGUAUUUGACCUUUACUUUCAACUUUGUGAUACACUUUCAAAGAGUCAGAUUGUUUGGGAAUGCAGUCCAAAAUGGGUGGUAAAUUUCAUCUAAAGCUAAAUAUUGGCGAGAGACCGAUAGCGAACAAGUACCGUGAGGGAAAGAUGAAAAGAACUUUGAAAAGAGAGUUAAACAGUACGUGAAAUUGUCAAAAGGGAAGCGUUUGACACCAGUGUUGUUUUUUCUGAAAAUCAAUUAAAGAACUGUUUAUGCUAAGUUGUUUAGACUUUAUCAGCUAACUGUUUAGUUUUGAGCUUUUCUUUAAUGCACUUUUCAGUUAACAAGUCAACAUCAAUUUCUUUUGCUGUAAAAAAGCUUGAGGAAGGUGGCUUGAGAUUCGUCUUAAGUGUUUAUAGCCUCUUGCCUAUGCAGUCGGAGAGAUUGAGGUCUGCAGCGUAGAUCCUUCGGGGCUAAAUGCAUUUGUGCUAAGUUAUAGCAUUUUAUAGACAACUUGUUGACUAUGAUUUGUCUUGUAGCUUACUCGCUUACGUUAUUUUACCUACGCUUAGGAUGUUGAAGACUCUACAGAGAUA
rnacentral:rRNA from 1 species